rnacentral:rRNA from 1 species
ACGCUCGACACCUACGGGAGGUAGCAGUGGGGAAUAUUGCACAAUGGGGGAAACCCUGAUGCAGCGACGCCGCGUGAGUGAAGAAGUAUUUCGGUAUGUAAAGCUCUAUCAGCAGGGAAGAAGAUGACGGUACCUGAGUAAGAAGCCCCGGCUAACUACGUGUCAGCAGCCGCGGUAAUCUGAGCGGCUGGCAAGGC